UGAUUGUGCAAAUUUUUUCUC
rnacentral:piRNA from 1 species